CCCAUUGCCAUUACCCAACCCAUUUAGUCAUUUACACUAAAUCCAAUAGCAUUCAAUCCUUUAUCCCAUCGCAAUUCAAAACACAGAAGCUAGGGUUUCUGUUUCUUUCAUGCCGUCGCCCAAACUCGUGCCUCUCCCCGUCGCAUUUUCGAAACCAUUCAUCCUCGUCGUCUUCACUUCGCUGGCGCCGUUAUUCCCUGUCUCCGGUCAGCUUGGAAAUCGAAUGCAGCAGGUCAAACGAAGAAGAAGAAGGUCAGAAGAAGAAGAAGAUCUAAAGAAGAAGAAAGGGUUUUAAAAGUUUGCUCAAUUGUCACAUUAGGCCCCUGUGGUUUUAAACUUUAAUAUCUUUAAUAUUUUAAGUUUCAAAAAUGCUAUAUCAGACCCUAAAGUUUUGUUUAUUAAAUGUCUCAUUUAAAUCUUUUAUAAAACUUAAAAUUUUGCAAUGUAAUUUUCAAGUAUUGUAAUUUUUUUAAUUUAA